UACGGAGGAUGCGAGCGUUAUCCGGAAUUAUUGGGUGUAAAGGGUGCGUAGACGGGAUAACAAGUUGGUUGUGAAACCCCUCGGCUCAACUGAGGAACUGCAACCAAAACUAUUAUUCUUGAGUGCAGGAGAGGAAAGUGGAAUUCCUAGUGUAGCGGUGAAAUGCGUAGAUAUUAGGAAGAACACCGGUGGCGAAGGCGACUUUCUGGGCCUGUACUGACAUUGAGGCACGAAAGCGUGGGGAGCAAACAGG
rnacentral:rRNA from 1 species